UACGGAGGGUGCAAACGUUGCUCGGAAUUAUUGGGCGUAAAGCGCACGUAGGCGGCCGAAUAAGUCGGGUGUGAAAGCCCUGGGCUCAACCCAGGAAGUGCACUCGAAACUGCUCGGCUUGAGUAUGGAAGAGGGUUGCGGAAUUCCCGGUGUAGAGGUGAAAUUCGUAGAUAUCGGGAGGAACACCAGUGGCGAAGGCGGCUCACUGGCCCGGUACUGACGCUGAGGUGCGAAAGCGUGGGGAGCAAACAGG
rnacentral:rRNA from 1 species